UAGGGAAUCUUCCACAAUGGACGCAAGUCUGAUGGAGCAACGCCGCGUGAGUGAAGAAGGUUUUCGGACCGUAAAGCUCUGUUGUUGGUGAAGAAGGAUAGAGGUAGUAACUGGCCUUUAUUUGACGGUAAUCAACCAGAAAGUCACGGCUAACUACGUGCCAGCAGCCGCGGUAAUACGUAGGUGGCAAGCGUUGUCCGGAUUUAUUGGGCGUAAAGCGAGCGCAGGCGGAAGAAUAAGUCUGAUGUGAAAGCCCUCGGCUUAACCGAGGAAUUGCAUCGGAAACUGUUUUCUUGAGUGCAGAAGAGGAGAGUAGAACUCCAUGUGUAGCGGUGGAAUGCGUAGAUAUAUGGAAGAAUACCAGUGGCGAAAGCGGCUCUCUGGUCUGCAACUGACGCUGAGGCUCGAAAGCAUGGGUAGCGAACAGGAUUAGAUACCCUGGUAGUCCAUGCCGUAAACGAUGAGUGCUAAGUGUUGGGAGGCUUCCGCCUCUCAGUGCUGCAGCUAACGCAUUAAGCACUCCGCCUGGGGGAGUACGACCGCAAGGUUGAAAC
rnacentral:rRNA from 1 species